rnacentral:rRNA from 1 species
CGCCUCUUGAAACAAACAUAAGAGGUCCCGCCUGCCCGGUGACUAUUAGUUUAACGGCCGCGGUAUUUUGACCGUGCAAAGGUAGCGCAAUCACUUGUCCUUUAAAUGAAGACCUGUAUGAAUGGCACCACGAGGGCUCAACUGUCUCCUUUCUCCUGUCAAUGAAAUUGAUCUCCCCGUGCAGAAGCGGGGAUUCACCCAUAAGACGAGAAGACCCUAUGGAGCUUUAGGCACCAGAACAGACUAUGUUAAGCACCCUAACACAAAAGACAAAACUAACUAGACCCUAUUCCAAUGCCUUUGGUUGGGGCGACCGCGGGGAAACAAAAACCCCCCACGUGGACUAAGAGCACCCCACUCUUACAACCAAGGGCCACAGCCCUAAGUAACAGAACCUCUGACCCUAAAUGAUCCGGUAAAACCGAUCAACGAACCGAGUUACCCUAGGGAUAACAGCGCAAUCCCCUUCUAGAGUCCAUAUCGACAAGGGGGUUUACGACCUCGAUGUUGGAUCAGGACAUCCUAUUGGUGCAGUCGCUAUUAAGGGUUCGUUUGUUCAACGAUUAAAGUCCU